GGGUUGUGAGGUUAAGCGACUAAGCGUACACGGUGGAUGCCCUGGCAGUCAGAGGCGAUGAAGGACGUGCUAAUCUGCGAUAAGCGUCGGUAAGGUGAUAUGAACCGUUAUAACCGGCGAUUUCCGAAUGGGGAAACCCAGUGUGAUUCGUCACACUAUCAUUAACUGAAUCCAUAGGUUAAUGAGGCGAACCGGGGGAACUGAAACAUCUAAGUACCCCGAGGAAAAGAAAUCAACCGAGAUUCCCCCAGUAGCGGCGAGCGAACGGGGAGCAGCCCAGAGCCUGAAUCAGUGUGUGUGUUAGUGGAAGCGUCUGGAAAGGCGCGCGAUACAGGGUGACAGCCCCGUACACAAAAAUGCACAUGCUGUGAGCUCGAUGAGUAGGGCGGGACACGUGGUAUCCUGUCUGAAUAUGGGGGGACCAUCCUCCAAGGCUAAAUACUCCUGACUGACCGAUAGUGAACCAGUACCGUGAGGGAAAGGCGAAAAGAACCCCGGCGAGGGGAGUGAAAAAGAACCUGAAACCGUGUACGUACAAGCAGUGGGAGCACGCUUAGGCGUGUGACUGCGUACCUUUUGUAUAAUGGGUCAGCGACUUAUAUUCUGUAGCAAGGUUAACCGAAUAGGGGAGCCGAAGGGAAACCGAGUCUUAACUGGGCGUUAAGUUGCAGGGUAUAGACCCGAAACCCGGUGAUCUAGCCAUGGGCAGGUUGAAGGUUGGGUAACACUAACUGGAGGACCGAACCGACUAAUGUUGAAAAAUUAGCGGAUGACUUGUGGCUGGGGGUGAAAGGCCAAUCAAACCGGGAGAUAGCUGGUUCUCCCCGAAAGCUAUUUAGGUAGCGCCUCGUGAAUUCAUCUCCGGGGGUAGAGCACUGUUUCGGCAAGGGGGUCAUCCCGACUUACCAACCCGAUGCAAACUGCGAAUACCGGAGAAUGUUAUCACGGGAGACACACGGCGGGUGCUAACGUCCGUCGUGAAGAGGGAAACAACCCAGACCGCCAGCUAAGGUCCCAAAGUCAUGGUUAAGUGGGAAACGAUGUGGGAAGGCCCAGACAGCCAGGAUGUUGGCUUAGAAGCAGCCAUCAUUUAAAGAAAGCGUAAUAGCUCACUGGUCGAGUCGGCCUGCGCGGAAGAUGUAACGGGGCUAAACCAUGCACCGAAGCUGCGGCAGCGACGCUUAUGCGUUGUUGGGUAGGGGAGCGUUCUGUAAGCCUGCGAAGGUGUGCUGUGAGGCAUGCUGGAGGUAUCAGAAGUGCGAAUGCUGACAUAAGUAACGAUAAAGCGGGUGAAAAGCCCGCUCGCCGGAAGACCAAGGGUUCCUGUCCAACGUUAAUCGGGGCAGGGUGAGUCGACCCCUAAGGCGAGGCCGAAAGGCGUAGUCGAUGGGAAACAGGUUAAUAUUCCUGUACUUGGUGUUACUGCGAAGGGGGGACGGAGAAGGCUAUGUUGGCCGGGCGACGGUUGUCCCGGUUUAAGCGUGUAGGCUGGUUUUCCAGGCAAAUCCGGAAAAUCAAGGCUGAGGCGUGAUGACGAGGUACUACGGUGCUGAAGCAACAAAUGCCCUGCUUCCAGGAAAAGCCUCUAAGCAUCAGGUAACAUCAAAUCGUACCCCAAACCGACACAGGUGGUCAGGUAGAGAAUACCAAGGCGCUUGAGAGAACUCGGGUGAAGGAACUAGGCAAAAUGGUGCCGUAACUUCGGGAGAAGGCACGCUGAUAUGUAGGUGAAGUCCCUCGCGGAUGGAGCUGAAAUCAGUCGAAGAUACCAGCUGGCUGCAACUGUUUAUUAAAAACACAGCACUGUGCAAACACGAAAGUGGACGUAUACGGUGUGACGCCUGCCCGGUGCCGGAAGGUUAAUUGAUGGGGUUAGCGCAAGCGAAGCUCUUGAUCGAAGCCCCGGUAAACGGCGGCCGUAACUAUAACGGUCCUAAGGUAGCGAAAUUCCUUGUCGGGUAAGUUCCGACCUGCACGAAUGGCGUAAUGAUGGCCAGGCUGUCUCCACCCGAGACUCAGUGAAAUUGAACUCGCUGUGAAGAUGCAGUGUACCCGCGGCAAGACGGAAAGACCCCGUGAACCUUUACUAUAGCUUGACACUGAACAUUGAGCCUUGAUGUGUAGGAUAGGUGGGAGGCUUUGAAGUGUGGACGCCAGUCUGCAUGGAGCCGACCUUGAAAUACCACCCUUUAAUGUUUGAUGUUCUAACGUUGACCCGUAAUCCGGGUUGCGGACAGUGUCUGGUGGGUAGUUUGACUGGGGCGGUCUCCUCCUAAAGAGUAACGGAGGAGCACGAAGGUUGGCUAAUCCUGGUCGGACAUCAGGAGGUUAGUGCAAUGGCAUAAGCCAGCUUGACUGCGAGCGUGACGGCGCGAGCAGGUGCGAAAGCAGGUCAUAGUGAUCCGGUGGUUCUGAAUGGAAGGGCCAUCGCUCAACGGAUAAAAGGUACUCCGGGGAUAACAGGCUGAUACCGCCCAAGAGUUCAUAUCGACGGCGGUGUUUGGCACCUCGAUGUCGGCUCAUCACAUCCUGGGGCUGAAGUAGGUCCCAAGGGUAUGGCUGUUCGCCAUUUAAAGUGGUACGCGAGCUGGGUUUAGAACGUCGUGAGACAGUUCGGUCCCUAUCUGCCGUGGGCGCUGGAGAACUGAGGGGGGCUGCUCCUAGUACGAGAGGACCGGAGUGGACGCAUCACUGGUGUUCGGGUUGUCAUGCCAAUGGCACUGCCCGGUAGCUAAAUGCGGAAGAGAUAAGUGCUGAAAGCAUCUAAGCACGAAACUUGCCCCGAGAUGAGUUCUCCCUGACUCCUUGAGAGUCCUGAAGGAACGUUGAAGACGACGACGUUGAUAGGCCGGGUGUGUAAGCGCAGCGAUGCGUUGAGCUAACCGGUACUAAUGAACCGUGAGGCUUAACCUUACAACGCCGAAG
rnacentral:rRNA from 1 species